rnacentral:rRNA from 1 species
CCCUUAGAGUUUGAUCCUGGCUCAGAAUCAACGCUGGCGGCGUGCCUAACACAUGCAAGUCGAACGCGAAAGGGGCUUCGGCCCUGAGUAGAGUGGCAAACGGGUGAGUAACACGUGGGUGACCUGCCUCAGAGUGGGGGAUAACGUUCCGAAAGGAGCGCUAAUACCGCAUGACAUCCUGCGCUUGGAAGCGCGGUGAUUAAAGCCGGGGAUCGCAAGACCUGGCGCUUGGAGAGGGGCCCGCGGCCGAUUAGCUAGUUGGUGGGGUAAUGGCUCACCAAGGCAACGAUCGGUAUCCGGCCUGAGAGGGCGGACGGACACACUGGGACUGAGACACGGCCCAGACUCCUACGGGAGGCAGCAGUGGGGAAUUGUUCGCAAUGGGCGCAAGCCUGACGACGCAACGCCGCGUGGAGGAUGAAGAUCUUCGGGUCGUAAACUCCUUUCGAUCGGGAAGAACAGUUCCCGGGUCAAUAACCCGGGAGUUUGACGGUACCGAGAGAAGAAGCCCCGGCUAACUCCGUGCCAGCAGCCGCGGUAAUACGGGGGGGGCAAGCGUUGUUCGGAAUUACUGGGCGUAAAGGGCUCGUAGGCGGCCAACUAAGUCGGAUGUGAAAUCCCCAAGCUUAACUUGGGAACUGCAUCCGAUACUGGAUGGCUUGAAUCCGGGAGAGGGAUGCAGAAUUCCAGGUGUAGCGGUGAAAUGCGUAGAUAUCUGGAGGAAUACCGGUGGCGAAAGCGGCAUCCUGGACCGGCAUUGACGCUGAGGAGCGAAAGCUAGGGGAGCAAACGGGAUUAGAUACCCCGGUAGUCCUAGCCCUAAACGAUGAAUGCU